GAUCCUGGCUCAGGACGAACGCUGGCGGCGUGCCUAAUACAUGCAAGUCGAACGCUUCUUUUUCCACCGGAGCUUGCUCCACCGGAAAAAGAGGAGUGGCGAACGGGUGAGUAACACGUGGGUAACCUGCCCAUCAGAAGGGGAUAACACUUGGAAACAGGUGCUAAUACCGUAUAACAAUCGAAACCGCAUGGUUUUGAUUUGAAAGGCGCUUUCGGGUGUCGCUGAUGGAUGGACCCGCGGUGCAUUAGCUAGUUGGUGAGGUAACGGCUCACCAAGGCCACGAUGCAUAGCCGACCUGAGAGGGUGAUCGGCCACAUUGGGACUGAGACACGGCCCAAACUCCUACGGGAGGCAGCAGUAGGGAAUCUUCGGCAAUGGACGAAAGUCUGACCGAGCAACGCCGCGUGAGUGAAGAAGGUUUUCGGAUCGUAAAACUCUGUUGUUAGAGAAGAACAAGGAU
rnacentral:rRNA from 1 species